GCUGGGUGUGAUGGCACAUGCCUGUAAUCCCAGUAACUUGGGAGGCUGAGGCAGGAGGAACACAAGUUCAAGGCCAGCUUCAGCAACUUAGCAAAGCCCUAAAUAGCUUAGUGAAACCCUGUCUCAA
rnacentral:sRNA from 1 species